rnacentral:rRNA from 1 species
GCUCCUACGGGAGGCAGCAGUGAGGAAUAUUGGUCAAUGGGCGGGAGCCUGAACCAGCCAAGUCGCGUGAGGGACGACGGUCCUAUGGAUUGUAAACCUCUUUUGUCGGGGAACAAAGGCGCCCACGGGUGGGCGGAUGAGUGUACCCGAAGAAUAAGCACCGGCUAACUACGUGCCAGCAGCCGCGGUAAUACGUAGGGUGCGAGCGUUAAUCGGAAUUACUGGGCGUAAAGGGUGCGCAGGCGGUUGAGUAAGACAGAUGUGAAAUCCCCGAGCUUAACUCGGGAAUGGCAUAUGUGACUGCU